rnacentral:tRNA from 1 species
AAAUAAGAAGUGAAAUAAAUUACAUUCAGUUUCGACCUGAAAAAAUGGUAUUAAAAUUACCCUUAUUUA